CCUGCCCAAGAGAUCGGGAUAACACCUGGAAGCAGAUGCUAAUACCGGAUAACAACAGAUGAUGCCUAUCAACUGUUUAAAAGAUGGUUCUGCUAUCACUCUUGGAUGGACCUGCGGUGCAUUAGCUAGUUGGUAGGGUAACGGCCUACCAAGGCGAUGAUGCAUAGCCGAGUUGAGAGACUGAUCGGCCACAUUGGGACUGAGACACGGCCCAAACUCCUACGGGAGGCAGCAGUA
rnacentral:rRNA from 1 species